rnacentral:rRNA from 1 species
UUCCUCCCUCUUUCUGCGUUCUUAACCCCUGCAAGUCGAACGGAAAGGCCCUGCUUUUGUGGGGUGCUCGAGUGGCGAACGGGUGAGUAACACGUGAGUAACCUGCCCUUGACUUUGGGAUAACUUCAGGAAACUGGGGCUAAUACCGGAUAGGAGCUCCUGCUGCAUGGUGGGGGUUGGAAAGUUUCGGCGGUUGGGGAUGGACUCGCGGCUUAUCAGCUUGUUGGUGGGGUAGUGGCUUACCAAGGCUUUGACGGGUAGCCGGCCUGAGAGGGUGACCGGCCACAUUGGGACUGAGAUACGGCCCAGACUCCUACGGGAGGCAGCAGUGGGGAAUAUUGCACAAUGGGCGGAAGCCUGAUGCAGCAACGCCGCGUGCGGGAUGACGGCCUUCGGGUUGUAAACCGCUUUCGCCUGUGACGAAGCGUAAGUGACGGUAAUGGGUAAAGAAGCACCGGCUAACUACGUG